rnacentral:rRNA from 1 species
AUAGACUAGACUUUCUUUUUUUCUUUUGUGUUAUUGACUGUACGCUUGUUUACUCCAUGUGUAACUCUGUGUUGUUGUUUGUGUCGCACUGCUUUGCUUUGUCUUGGCCAGGUCGUAGUUGUAAAUGAGAAUUUGUUUUCAACUAGCUUACCUGGUUAAAUAAAGAUGAAAAAAAAAGAAAAGCAUCAGUGAUACCGAGGCUGGGAUGAGCUACUCACUGGCUGGCCGCCCGCCUAACUGCCACCGAGGUAAAGACAGAUUCAGGUUGGAUAUUCGCCUGUAGUUAUCCUUACGUCCACCAACAGCAGUCAGGGACCGUCAACAUAGUGACAAAUCAAAUGUUUCAAAAUUCAAUAGCUACUUAACCAUUACUCCUAAAACUUUCAAAACUGGUUCUAGCUAACCCGAUGGCAUUGACACACAUUGCACACAUGUAUUUUUUGUCGAUUUACAUCUUGCACUAUUUUAAAAUAUUUAUUUAAAUGUUUUUAUUUCAAUAGCUCUUUUGUCAUGUGGCCUACCGUACUUCAAACAAGGUUCAGAAUGUCCACUAACUACCCUUCUAUAUUGCACACCCUUUAGUUUGUCCGUUUUCAACUCACGCAUUACAUGCAUUUUUCAAACGUUCAAAUUUAAAUAGCUCCUUGGUCUUGUGACCUACUGACGUCAAACAAGGUUCAGAAUGUACACUCAGUGGGCCUACAUAUUGCACACCCGUUAGUUAGUCCAUUUUCAUCUCACACGAUUGUACAUUAAUUUUAUAAACAUUCUAAUUUCAAUAGCUCUUUGGUCAUGUGACCUACUUAACCCAAAGAAGGUUCAGAAUGUCCAAUGACUACCAUUCUAUAUUACACACCCUUUAUUUUGUCCAUUUUCAUCUCAGGCAAUUUUACAUGAAUUCUCAAUGUUUUUCAAUGUUUCUAAUUUCAAUAGCUCCUUGGUCAUGUGACCUACUGACUUCAAACAAGGUUCAGAAUGUCCACUGACUACCCUUCUAUAUUGCACACCUUUUAGUUUGGCCAUUUUCAUCCCACACGAUUUUACAUAAAUGUUUCAAACUUUAUAAUUUCAAUAGCUUUUUGGCAAUGUGACCUACUGACCUCAAACUACUUUCAGAAUGUCCACGGACUGGCGGAGACGGGCGCCGCAAGGCGAGAGAGAGAAUGGCAGGGCGCCCUGGAAUGGGUUCGCCCCGACAGAGGGGCCCAAGCCCUGGAAAGUGUUGCGGUUUCGGCGACAUCCGGUGUGCUCUCCCUGGCCCUUGAAAAUCCGGGGGAGAGGGUGUAAAUCUCACGCCGGGCCAUACCCAUAUCAGCAGCAGGUCUCCAAGGUGAAUAGCCUCUGGCAUGUAAUAACAAUGUAGGUAAGGGAAGUUGGCAAAAAAGAUCUGUAACUUCGGGAUAAGGAUUGUCUCUAAGGGCUGGGUCGGUCGGGUUGGGGUGCGAAGCUGGGCUCGAAGCCGCGGCUGUGGGAGCUCUCGCUCCGUCACCCUCCUCUCGCCACCAUUGGAAGUUUGUUGUGCGGCCCAUCUCGCAGUCUCUCAUGCGUGGUCUUGCAAGGGGCUUCGUGCGGGGGUUCGUCAGGGGGGUGUCCGUCGGCGGGCCGAAGGUGGACCGGUGGGGGGUUGGGUCCGACUGUUGGUGGCGGAAACUCUUUACGCACGCCGGACUAAACCCAUUGGCACCGCUGUGAUAGGGCAUUGCAUGGAUCUGGCUCAUGCCCUACGAAGUGGGGAGAAGUAUCUCCAGCUUUUCUGGGGAAGGAGGGCUACAUCUGAUGUGGGUAGUACCAUCCAUGCCCAUUGAUUUUCUGCGGAACCAUAAAACGGACGGAAGAAGCCCAGGUUCCCACUGGGCACAGAUCACAGAAUGUCAACUUGAUGAAAUUCAAAGGAGCAUACCCACCUGUCACGGUCUGACUCAAAUCAUCCAUGAGGUGACUGUGACCACCUCAUGUCAAAGUGAGGAAUAUCGAUGAAGCACUGGUAAAGGUGGUUCCUAUGGCUCUGUCCCAGAGGGCUGACUGGGCAAGCAAAUGAUUGAAAGGGGAUGUUUAUUUUCUGUUGCUUCUUCUGACACCCGGUCGAUAGUGCCGCUAGAUACUGCGAUGGGUAUUUGGUUCUCAAGCCUAUGUAUUGCGCUGGCACUUGAUGUCGAUUGGGUGUAAAAACUCAGUUAAAGUCCGCUGAAGGUUAGUAGCGGCAACUGAUGUCCAGUUUGUAAGACAGAAAAGCCUCUGAUGAUACCACCGGGCGUGACUCGAAUUAACGUCAAUUUGAUGAUAUCUGACCAUAGCAUGCUACCCUUCGCGGUCGCACUCAAACCACCUUUGGGGUGGCUGUAACCCCAUCAUGUCAAAGUGAGGACAUUCGAUGAAGUGGGGGUAAACGGCGGGACAUAAUUAAGAGUAUCUUGAGGAAGCCAAAUUUCUCAUCAUCUAAUUAGUAAUGCGCAUAAAUGGAUGAAUGAGAUUCCCACUGUCCCUACCUACUAUCUAGCGA